GGGGNACGAUGANGNCGGUACCCGCAGAAUAAGCUCCGGCUAACUUCGUGCCAGCAGCCGCGGUAAUACGAAGGGGGCUAGCGUUGCUCGGAAUGACUGGGCGUAAAGGGCGCGUAGGCGGAUUGCACAGUCAGGCGUGAAAUUCCUGGGCUCAACCUGGGGACUGCGUCUGAGACGUGUGAUCUUGAGUGUGGAAGAGGGUCGUGGAAUUUCCAGUGUAGAGGUGAAAUUUGUAGAUAUUGGAAAGAACACCGGUGGCGAAGGCGGCGACCUGGUCCAUUACUGACGCUGAGGCGCGAAAGCGUGGGGAGCAAACAGGAUUAGAUACCCUGGUAGUCCACGCUGUAAACGAUGUGUGCUUGAUGUUGGGGUGCUUAGCACUUCAGUGUCGUAGCUAACGCGGUAAGCACNCCGCCUGGA
rnacentral:rRNA from 1 species